rnacentral:misc_RNA from 1 species
UUCAGUAGUUUUUCUACUGCUCAGGGGGAGUGUUGGAAAUCUGGCCCGCUCUCGCUCCGGCGGAGUAUGGUGCCACAAGUACAGCCCCUUCUCUGUACCCUUGUCUUUUUGCGUACUCAUGUUUCCUCGGUAGGCUUGCCUACCGGCUGGACAACUUAAUAACCUUUUUAAUUCUCAAUCAGCGUCUGAAUAAUUAUAAUAAUUACAACUUUCAACAACGGAUCUCUUGGUUCU